UUUGAUGAACUGUGUUCCACUGGACAGGCAGCAAUGCUGGCAGUAACAAGAGCAGGGAUACAAACAAUUACAAUAUCAAUCGAGCAAACGCUGUCAAAAGCGAAUAACAAAAGCUGGAUAAAGACAUUUAGGUGCCUAUAUCGGUGGUGUCCACCUCUUCCCAUUCCGAACAGAGAAGUUAAGCCCACCAGAGCCGAUGGUACUGCGGUAACACGUGGGAGAGUAGGUCGGUGCCAAAU
rnacentral:rRNA from 1 species